ensembl:lncRNA LINC02932 long intergenic non-protein coding RNA 2932
AGACAGGAUAGACGGUCAAGUCUCGCUUGGGCAACGUGACUUUGAGAGUUCCGCUUAUGGCUGCAGGGUCAACCAAUUUGUUGUUGGGACCCUGGAGCUGAAUGGCUUUCCUGUCUGUCGAUCCUUGGCUCAGCCCAGAAGUACAGGAAAAGCGGAAGCUGGUUCCAGACAAACCAACGCUCUCAACUCUGAAGAGUCAGGAGUUGUUAGAGAGCCUUUUCUCAGAAAGCCUGACACCCGUGUCUUUAGUCUGGCAUCCAUGCUAGUCACUUUUAACUGGCCAAUAGGUGCCUGGUAUUUAGUCCCCAAAUUCUAAGGAAAAAUAAGACAGAAUAGCAAGCAAAAGGGGUCUGAUGGUACUCACCACUUGGUGAUAGGCGACAGUCCCAUCUGGGUCACCAAAAUAUGUCUGGAAUUGGUUCCUUCCAGUGGGUUCUUGGUCUCACUGACUUCAAGAAUGAAGCCGCGGACCCUCGCACAUGAUUGUGAGGCCUCCCCACCCACAUGGAAUGGAACAAUGGUUCAGGAUUCACUAAUUCAGUAUUAGCAGCAACUUUACGGAACAAAACUACUGUGGAUAAUGAGAAUUCACUGCGCCCGUUGUUUAAACAGUUAACAGCAGUCACUUUAGUGCCUUUUGUAGAGACAGAGCACUAUGUGAAGAUUGUGCCUGCUUCCUCUUUGCCUUCCACCAUGAUUGGAAGUUUCCUGAGACCUUCCCAGCAGCAGAAGCCUAUACAGUCUGCAGAACUGUGAGCAGAUUAAACCUCUUUUCUUAAUAAAUUACCCAGUCUCAGAGUUCCCCAGCUAUCCCCCAGUGGCUUGGAGAUUCCCAUUUCAAGAGUGUAGAGUUCUACCCAGAAGGUGGCUGCGUGGACAGUGACUACAUUCUCAGCUCCAUGCCUAUUUGGGUGAGGCCCUGUGAUGAAUGGUCAUCAGUGGAAUAUGAGCAGAAGUGUUAUGUGUCAGAAGAAGACAUGCCUUCUCCAUCCUUUCUUUUCCCCUACCCUCUGGUUUGUGUUGGUUUCCAGGGUGUCCUUGGGAGGGGUUUGGGCCAUAAUUUCAAAAGACACAGUGCUAAAUACCACAAUCCCAAAUGUUGAAAUCUGGAAAGAUCAAAAUCUCUAAAGGAAGGCACACAUUUAAGAUGGCAAAGCCACUGUGCCUUUGUCCCUAAAUAAGAGUGGGGCAACUGUGCCUUUCACCACUCUGCUGUUAACCAGUUAUACACACAAUGAACUGUUACGUUAGCAAAAAAAAUGUUUCUUGUAAAGGCCACUGAAAUUGUGGAGUUUGUCUGUUACAGUAACUAGCAGUACUCUAACUAAAAUGAGCGUCUUUCAUAAUAGAGAUGAGAAUUCAGAUUUCUACUAUUCUCUGACAAAUCUCCAUAACACUUAUUUACCAAACCACUGAUUUUAAUUGUGCUGAACGGAAAUGAUCAUGGAGAGUCACUUUUCCAAUGACCUCUCUGUCCCUUGGUUUUCCAUUGUUUAAGGUGAAUGAUAAUUUCUAUCUUUUAUUUCUAUUUGUGGUAUCCAAACAAAAUCAUCAUAAAAACUCCAUUAUGGCAUAGUUAAUUGUAAAAUAAAUAUAUAUGACCAAAAAAAUUAAAAA